rnacentral:rRNA from 1 species
GACGAACGCUGGCGGCGUGCCUAAUACAUGCAAGUUGAGCGCUGAAGGUUGGUACUUGUACCGACUGGAUGAGCAGCGAACGGGUGAGUAACGCGUGGGGAAUCUGCCUUUGAGCGGGGGACAACAUUUGGAAACGAAUGCUAAUACCGCAUAAAAACUUUAAACACAAGUUUUAAGUUUGAAAGAUGCAAUUGCAUCACUCAAAGAUGAUCCCGCGUUGUAUUAGCUAGUUGGUGAGGUAAAGGCUCACCAAGGCGAUGAUACAUAACCGACCUGAGAGGGUGAUCGGCCACAUUGGGACUGAGACACGGCCCAAACUCCUACGGGAGGCAGCAGUAGGGAAUCUUCGGCAAUGGACGAAAGUCUGACCGAGCAACGCCGCGUGAGUGAAGAAGGUUUUCGGAUCGUAAAACUCUGUUGGUAGAGAAGAACGUUGGUGAGAGUGGAAAGCUCAUCAAGUGACGGUAACUACCCAGAAAGGGACGGCUAACUACGUG